rnacentral:rRNA from 1 species
CUCCUCGCAUGGGGUGUCGGGAAAGAUUUCAUCGGUAUGGGAUGGGGUCGCGUCCUAUCAGGUAGUCGGCGGGGUAACGGCCCACCGAGCCUACGACGGGUAGCCGGCCUGAGAGGGCGACCGGCCACAUUGGGACUGAGAUACGGCCCAGACUCCUACGGGAGGCAGCAGUGGGGAAUAUUGCACAAUGGGCGCAAGCCUGAUGCAGCGACGCCGCGUGCGGGAUGACGGCCUUCGGGUUGUAAACCGCUUUUGAUCGGGAGCAAGCCUUCGGGUGAGUGUACCUUUCGAAUAAGCACCGGCUAACUACGUGCCAGCAGCCGCGGUAAUACGUAGGGUGCAAGCGUUAUCCGGAAUUAUUGGGCGUAAAGGGCUCGUAGGCGGUUCGUCGCGUCCGGUGUGAAAGUCCAUCGCUUAACGGUGGAUCUGCGCCGGGUACGGGCGGGCUGGAGUGCGGUAGGGGAGACUGGAAUUCCCGGUGUAACGGUGGAAUGUGUAGAUAUCGGGAAGAACACCAAUGGCGAAGGCAGGUCUCUGGGCCGUUACUGACGCUGAGGAGCGAAAGCGUGGGGAGCGAACAGGAUUAGAUACCCUGGUAGUCCACGCCGUAAACGGUGGAUGCUGGAUGUGGGGCCCGUUCCACGGGUUCCGUGUCGGAGCUAACGCGUUAAGCAUCCCGCCUGGGGAGUACGGCCGCAAGGCUAAAACUCAAAGAAAUUGACGGGGGCCCGCACAAGCGGCGGAGCAUGCGGAUUAAUUCGAUGCAACGCGAAGAACCUUACCUGGGCUUGACAUGUUCCCGACAGCCGUAGAGAU